UUUUCAGUACGUCCGAUAUGAAAAAGAUAAGAGGCCGAUGUGGGCCCCUCCAAAUUCUCUCCUACGUUGCAUCUGAUCUUCAACAUAUUCUAUUCAUAUACAUUUCUUUGCCAUUUUUUCUUCCCCAUAUAAGGCUAUAUUGAGAUAUUUAAGUUGUGGGCUGUAUACUAUCUUGAACCCCCGUUGGAGGUUUAUUAUUAGCUGCAGAGUCUGGUUUUCCUAUGUGAGUAAACAGCUUAUUUGAAAUUUGUAUACAAAGUGAAUGGGUUUGCGGUUUUGAUCAGAAAAAGUUCUGUUUUUAACAAAUGAUGGAGGGGGAUUUAUCACCCGGAAAUAUGUUGCAAGGUAAUGGUUCUUAUGGAGGUUUUAAUUUGCAAGGGCCGGUACGAGUUCAUCAGCAGCAGCAGCACCCCCUUGCACUCCAUCAACAACAUAGUUCUCAUCCUCGACAGGGGUCCUUAAUGGCUCGUCCCACUAGUCAUGAGAAUUUUUUGCUUACAAUUGGAAACACACAAGAUUGUGAACAGACAAUUUCCUUUGCAGACUACAACAAAGGGGAGAGGGUAAAACCUGCGAGUGAUGAGGAUGAGCCGAGUUUAACGGAAGAUGCCACUGAUGGUCGUAAUGAUCCAAUUGGAGGAAAGAGGGCAUCCCGAUGGCAACGUGUGAAAUGGACUGACUCUAUGGUCCGGUUAUUAAUUACUGCUGUUUCUUACAUUAGUGAGGAGGCAGCCACUGAAUAUGGUUGUAGUGGUGGGAGAAGGAAAUUUGCAAAUUUACAUAAAAAAGGGAAGUGGAAAUCAGUGUCCAAAGUCAUGGCCGAAAGGAGUCAUUUUGUUUCACCUCAACAAUGUGAGGAUAAAUUUAAUGACCUUAACAAAAGGUACAAAAGACUUAACGAGAUCCUAGGUAGAGGAACUUCUUGUGAGGUUGUUGAGAAUCCAACACUUUUGGAUAUGAUGGAUCACAUCUCUGAGAAAGCAAAGGAGGAAGUUAGAAAGAUUCUAAGCUCAAAACAUUUGCACUAUGAAGAGAUGUGUUCAUAUCAUAAUGGAAAUCGAUUGCACCUUCCCCCUGAUCCUGAUUUGCAGCGUUCUUUGCGCUUAGCACUUAGAAGUGGAGAUGAUCAUGAUGAAAAUGAUGUGAAAAGGCACCUGCAGGAUGAUAAUGAUGAAGUUGAUCAAGAAGCUGAAUUGGAUGGUCAUGAUGAAUAUGAAGAUAAUCAUGUUUUGAAUGGGGAUCGUAGGGUACAGGAAAUACCAGGAAACUCUAUGAAGAGGUUAAAACAAUGUCAGAAUCAUGAAGAAUUUAGUUUCGGAAGUUCUUUUAAUUCUCUAGAUUGCAACAAAACCUUCAAUUUCCAGCCAGAUAUUACCGAUGCUGAUGUGAGUCAAGUGCUACCUGAAAGCAUGAAAGCGAACAUGUCACAAAAGCAGUGGCUGAGUCAUCGUAGUCUUCAAUUAGAAGAACAAAGGCUACAUAUUGAAGCACAAAUGUUGGAACUCGAGAAAGAGCGGUUCAAAUGGCAGAGAUUUUGCAAGAAAAAGGACAGAGAACUGGAGAUGACGAAGAUGGAAAUUGAGAGGAUGAAACUUGAGAAUGAACGCAUGUCUUUGGAGUUAAGACGAAGGGAGAUGGGUAUCGACAACAGUUGAUCGCGUCCUAUGGUGCUAAACUUAGCUUGAUGAUCGAGGAAUUGGUUGAGCAUAUCUAUAAUUCUACUUUCCCGUAUGAAGUAGCAGGCAGGGGUGCAAAAAAAGUUUAUUUUGUUUAGUAACAUACUUGCGCAGUGAGUUCUUUCUGGUUGUAAAAUGACUUUGGAAGCUUGUCAGUGCUUACAAAGAUCUGCAAUGGUCUGUGCCUUUUCUACUUGUAAGUUUGGAAGAUUUAGUAUGUGGCUUCAGUUUCAAUUAAUCUACGGCUUGUGUUAUUGUGGUACUAUUUCUCCUGAUCAAAGAUUGUUCAUUCCGGGACGCUAGAUGAGUGACAACUUUCUUUUGGCACAAUAAAUGAUCCACUCAGUUGAUAGAAAACUCCAAGUAGGUAAUGCUAUCUUGAAGCUAGAUUUGGGAAGGCAUGUGGUCGGGAUAACUGGCAUUUUUUAUUUACAAUUCUUAGCUAAUUCGGUUUUGAGGCAUGGAUUGAUAAGAUCAGACUAUGCGUAUCUGAUUUCUGGUUCUCAGUUUUGAUUAUAUGACAGUUUAAUACAAAAUAUUAGGCAGUGCAUCGAUGGACGGACUCCUGGCCGACGUAUUAUGUAUUCUGUUAGUCCAAUCAGUGCUAUCUUCGAUGCCUAUAUUUUUGCUUCAAACCCUUGAACCACCGAUUGUGUUCUUAUAAAAGUUUUGAGUCUUAUCUUUUUUACAGUUCAAUCAGUGCUAUCUUCUACGCCUAUAUUUUUGCUUCAAACCCUUGAACCACCGAUUGUGUUCUUAUAAAAGUUUUGAGUCUUAUCUUUUUUACAGUUCAAUCAGUGCUAUCUUCUACGCCUAUAUUUUUGCUUCAAACCCUUGAACCACCGAUUGUGUUCUUAUAAAAGUUUUGAGUCUUAUCUUUUUUACA